rnacentral:misc_RNA from 1 species
UUUCCGUAGGUGAACCUGCGGAAGGAUCAUUAAUUAUAUAUGGCCAAAGGGCAAGCUUUCCGAAAGGAGCGAGUUUGCUGUGUGAACCCUACCUACCCUUGCUUUUAGCGUACCCAUUGUUUCCUCGGCAGGCUUGCCUGCCAGUAGGACUCUCUUAAACCCUUUGUAAUUGCAGUCAGCGUCUGAAACUACGUAAUCUUUACAACUUUCAACAACGGAUCUCUUGGUUCUG